UGCACCAGUAGCUCAGUGGAUAGAGCAACGGCCUCCGGAGCCGUGUGCGGUGGUUCGAUUCCACUCUGGUGCAU
rnacentral:tRNA from 1 species